GCGUGCAGGAUGAAGGCCUUCGGGUUGUAAACUGCUUUUGUACGGAACGAAAAGCCCUGGGUUAAUACCCUGGGGUCAUGACGGUACCGUAAGAAUAAGCACCGGCUAACUACGUGCCAGCAGCCGCGGUAAUACGUAGGGUGCAAGCGUUAAUCGGAAUUACUGGGCGUAAAGCGUGCGCAGGCGGUUUUGUAAGACAGAGGUGAAAUCCCCGGGCUCAACCUGGGAACUGCCUUUGUGACUGCAAGGCUAGAGUACGGCAGAGGGGGAUGGAAUUCCGCGUGUAGCAGUGAAAUGCGU
rnacentral:rRNA from 1 species